rnacentral:tRNA from 1 species
CCUGGUGGCUCAGAUGGUAAAGCGUCUGAUUGCAACACAGGCGACCCAGGUUCAAUCCCUGGGUCAGGA